rnacentral:pre_miRNA from 1 species
GUAGUUUUUGAUCUUCAGCGAAGAAAAUGAAGUCGUUUUGCUUCAAAGCAUCUUUGAAGGAAGGGAAAGUUACCAACUAACGUUUAGUAGCUACUCAAGCAUUAUUGACUUCACUCAUAGGAGUGGAACUAGGAUAUGAAUGCUUUCUAUGAGUUUGUGAAGAAAGCAAUUAGUUUUGGUGCUACUAAACGUCAAUUGGUAACUUUCACUUCCCUCAAUGAUGUUUUGAAGCAAAACGACUUCAUCUUCUUUGCUGAAGAUCAUAAACUAC